rnacentral:lncRNA from 1 species
UUGAUGGGCUGCAGUAUACCAGAAUGUCCCUUGUGCCAGAGACUGACUAUUCACCUUUUCCAGUUGGAUGGCGGCCUGACCAUGAGAAGGCAUUGCUUGAAUAUAUAUGGCUCGAUGAUCCAAGAACCUUGGAGGAACAGCGUAGGUGCCUUGGAGAGCAUGGACUAAUUUCACCUCAAGAUUAUAUCUCAAUGCUUGUCUGGAACUACAAGAGAAAUGCUAUUCCCAUGGAUCAGCUUUCAAUCAUCACCCCAAGGGACAAUAGACUGUUGUGCAGCUCAAAUGAGGAUAGUAAUGAUGAAAGAAACUCAGCCGAAUUAGACAAUGAAGAAAGCAUACCUGCUGCUCAAAUGUAAAGAAAUGUCAGAGUUCUGUGAUCUUGAAGGUUAUUGUUCUUUCUCUUGUAGCAGAAAAUUUCUGUUAAAGAUGAUAACUGGAUUUCUCUUAUGAAGUACAAUGAUUACCUCGGCUUCAAUACAGAAGGCAUAGAAUAGCUUGUAUUUUUUUGUUACAUAUAAUCUAACACACAAAUUCACAAAAAUUUAAUUGCUAAGACUUUCUCUGAUUUAUUUUCCCUUUUGGUU